rnacentral:rRNA from 1 species
GAUGAACGCUGGCGGCGUGCCUAAUACAUGCAAGUCGAGCGAAUGGAUUAAGAGCUUGCUCUUAUGAAGUUAGCGGCGGACGGGUGAGUAACACGUGGGUAACCUGCCCAUAAGACUGGGAUAACUCCGGGAAACCGGGGCUAAUACCGGAUAAUAUUUUGAACUGCAUGGUUCAAAAUUGAAAGGCGGCUUCGGCUGUCACUUAUGGAUGGACCCGCGUAGCAUUAGCUAGUUGGUGAGGUAACGGCUCACCAAGGUAACGAUGCGUAGCCGACCUGAGAGGGUGAUCGGCCACACUGGGACUGAGACACGGCCCAGACUCCUACGGGAGGCAGCAGUAGGGAAUCUUCCGCAAUGGACGAAAGUCUGACGGAGCAACGCCGCGUGAGUGAUGAAGGCUUUCGGGUCGUAAAACUCUGUUGUUAGGGAAGAACAAGUGCUAGUUGAAUAAGCUGGCACCUUGACGGUACCUAACCAGAAAGCCACGGCUAACUACGUGCCAGCCGCCGCCGUAA